rnacentral:lncRNA from 1 species
GGGAUGCCAGAAGACAGCGUGGCCUCACGUGUACCAGCUCUCUGCUCUCCUUUGCCUUGGGACGUUCCAUCCCUGGAAGUUUCCCUGCCCACAUCUUUGUAGAGAGUCCAUUCUCCAAGCUUCAGUGUGUCAUCUGUUAGGACUAUGACCCACCUGGUACAUUACCUCAGGGCAUUCAUUUCAGGCUCCUUCUAAGUGGUCAAGAUCUUGCUUUCUUUUGUAUGUUUGCAAAGAAUAAAUAGUACACUUCCUUGAUCCGUGGUUCCUAAAGUGUGAUUCCCAACAAGCAGCAUCAGGAUCACCUGGAAACUUGAUAGAAAUAUAAAUUCUACAGUCCCUCCUUGGAGCUACAGAUUCAGAAAUUCUGAAGUUUAAUUCCAGCAAUUGGUUAUAAUAAGCUCUCUAGGUGAUUCUGACUCACACCAAGGCACCCUUGGAAAUGCAAUGCUAUAUCUCAAUGGGAUUUUCCAGUACAGAGAUUCUUUUCAAUAACAUAAUUGUGGAUACACACCACUCCUGUAGUGCUGCACUGAUGAGGAAACUGAAACAGAAAAUCCAGAGUAAAUUCCACCAGGCCACACAGCAAGGUCUGAUAGAGCCAGGAGAGACUUUAUGAAAUCCAGACUCUCACACUAAUGCUCUAUCAGCUAGACCUCCAUGUGAGUCUCCCCAAUGUAGGUAGGAAGCAC